AUUUCGUCCAAAUCUUUUACCACACUCAGAACAGACAAAUGGUUUUUGUCCUGUAUGAAUUAUCAUGUGUGUGUUCAGAGUGCUCUUAUGUCUAAAUCUCUGACCACACUUAGAACAGACAAAUGAUUUUUGCCCUGUAUGAAUGAUCAUAUGCCUGUUCAGGUGGCUCUUUUGUCCAAAUCUUUGACCACACUUAGUACAGACAAAUGGUUUUUCUCCAGUAUGAAUUAUCAAGUGUGUGUUCAGAGUGCUCUUUUGUCCAUAGCUUUGACCACACUUAGAACAGACAAAUGGUUUUUGUCCUGUAUGAAUUAUCAUGUGUGUGUUCAGGCUGCUCUUAUGUCCAAAUCUUUGGCCACACUCAGAACAGACAAAUGCUUUUUGCCCUGUAUGAAUUAUCAUGUGUCUGUUCAGGUGGCUCUUUUGUCCAAAUCUUUGACCACACUUAGAACAGACAAAUGCUUUUUGCCCUGUAUGAA